AAAUUCCUUAGUUAGUUUUUCAUUAUCUUUAGUUAAGGUAUUAGUCUUUUGAGUUAAAAGUUGGUUGCUUGUCUUAAGUUCUAUAUUUUCUUUGGUGAUUAAAUCCUUAUCCUUAACUAAUUUAUCGUAUUUAUGUAGGUAUGAUUGAUAAGCUAUUUUUAGUUCUUUAUUCUUAAGAUUUAUUGCCUUAUAUUCUAUCAUUAAUUCAUUAAAUGCAUCAUAAAGUUCAUCAAAAGAAAAAUCAAGAUGCGUGUCGGAAGUUACCUCAUUUUCAUUGGCCAUGAAGCAGAAAUUGGCCUUCUCUUCUUGUUCAUCAUCCGAUGAAGAGGAUGAUGAAUCGGAGUCGGAUAGUGUUGUGACAAGAGCCUUCUUCUUCUUGUACUUGCUCCCCUUUUUCAGUAAAGGGCACUC
rnacentral:lncRNA from 1 species